AGUGAACGCUGGCGGUAGGCCUAACACAUGCAAGUCGAACGGCAGCACAGAGGAGCUUGCUCCUUGGGUGGCGAGUGGCGGACGGGUGAGGAAUACAUCGGAAUCUACUCUGUCGUGGGGGAUAACGUAGGGAAACUUACGCUAAUACCGCAUACGACCUAAGGGUGAAAGCAGGGGAUUUUAGGACCUCGCGCGAUUGAAUGAGCCGAUGUCGGAUUAGCUAGUUGGCGGGGUAAAGGCCCACCAAGGCGACGGUCCGUAGCUGGGAUGGGAGGAUGAUCAGCCACACUGGAACUGAGACACGGUCCAGACUCCUACGGGAGGCAGCAGUGGGGAAUAUUGGACAAUGGGCGCAAGCCUGAUCCAGCCAUACCGCGUGGGUGAAGAAGGCCUUCGGGUUGUAAAGCCCUUUUGUUGGGAAAGAAAUCCAUCUGGUUAAUACCCGGGUGGGAUGACGGUACCCAAAGAAUAAGCACCGGCUAACUUCGUGCCAGCAGCCGCAGUAA
rnacentral:rRNA from 1 species